ACCCGCUGAACUUAAGCAUAUCAGUAAGCGGAGGAAAAGAAACUAAAUAGGAUUCCCCCAGUAACGGCGAGUGAAAAGGGAAAAGUCCAUCGCUAAAUCGUUUUGCCUCAGGCAUUAUGAGGUGUAGCGUAUAAGUCGUAAACUUUGAUCUUUUGUCUCAAACAAGUCCCCUUGACAGAGGUUCCACAGAAGGUGCAAGUCCUGUACGUUGAGAUAAUUGAUCGAUAUUUGCGUGCUUUAGAGUCGGGUUGUUUGGGAUCGCAGCCCAAAGUCGGUGGUAAACUUCAUCUAAGACUUAAUAUUGCCACGAGACCGAUAGCAAACAAGUACUGUGAAGGAAAGUUGCAAAGCACUUUGAAGAGAGAGUUAAAGAGGACGUGAAACCGGUAAGGUGGAAACGGAUAGAGUCGGCGUAUCAUUCAAUUAUUCAGUUACAUUAUUUUUAUGUUGUGACCUCUGAGCUCCAGAUUGGGACAGAGGGAAUCAGCAUAAUUUUUUGUGGUGCAUUUACUUGAUUGGUGCUUGGGGAUGUUUGAGGCAGAUUUGUUUCCGUCGUUUUGAGGCCAGCUUGCUGGUACCCAAACGGUGUUAGCAUUUUUUGUCUUGGGCAUUUGAGUAUGGCUCACGUGUAUUUAUUGGACAGAUCUGAGUGUAAGUUACGGUCGCAUGCGACACGUGCUUUUCAAUUAGUUCGGUCCAGUUAAUGCUCUCGUACUCGUUCCCCAUGUAAAAGCCGGUCAUCUAUCCGACCCGUCUUGAAACACGGACCAAGGAGUUUAUCGUGUGCGCAAGUUUUUGGGUGUUAAAAACUUAAAAGCGAAAUGAAAGUAAAUGACUCUUUAGAGUCUGAUGUGCGAUCUUGUAAAAAAGUGUAGCAUGGCCCCAUCCUAACUGUUUACAGUAGGGUGGCGGAAGAGCGUACGCGGUGAGACCCGAAAGAUGGUGAACUAUUCCUGAGCAGGACGAAGCCAGAGGAAACUCUGGUGGAAGUCCGAAGCGGUUCUGACGUGCAAAUCGAUCGUCUGACUUGGGU
rnacentral:rRNA from 1 species